CAUUUCAGAUUAGUACACAAGUAUAAAAUGCAGUGAAGUCAAGAAUUCAGAUUUGCAAGGAAAAUAAUAGCUACUGAGUGCAUUUGAAUUCUAACUCAAAACAUUCUCAUCAGGGAGGGCUCUGAGGCCAUGCUAAGCAGCGACUGGCCUCCUACUUGAUACAGUUAAGCAACUGACACAGGCUCUGCUUAUUUUGAGUCAAUUUAACUGUACUAUUAUUGCUUUGAGGCAUACUGGACUCUUAUCUUUGAAACUUAGAUGUGAGGCGCUGCCUAUUCUUGCGACUUCCUUGCCUGCAGUGUGAAAUAGUGUUUCCUACUGACAUAAAAGCUUAGUUUCGCCUUGGCAGGGCAAAAGAUCUGACCAACUGUGUAGAAUAUUCUUGUUGCUUUGACUGAAGGUAUGCAGUAGCAGAGGAGGAUCAUUUUGUGAAAAGAAUGGGCCGUUGCUCACAGUUGGAAAGAUUCUGAGUGAAGCAGGAACUAGCAGAACAUAUCCAAAAGCUGUGAUGCUCCAGGGUCACUGAUCUACUGUUGGAGGUGCUGUCUUUUGAAUGAGAGUCCCUGACUGCCCUUACAUGCAUAAAAGAUUCCAUGGCGCUAGUUUGAGGAAGACCAGGAAAGUUGUGCCCAGUGUCCUGACGAUACUUAUCCUCAAAUUAACCUCAGUGAAACAGAAUCUGAUCACUUUCAUGGGAACCCCUGCCGUGCGAAAAUUGACAGCUGUAUUUCCUGCAU